rnacentral:rRNA from 1 species
GACGAACGCUGGCGGCGUGCCUAAUACAUGCAAGUUGAGCGCUGAAGGUUGGUACUUGUACCAAUUGGAUGAGCAGCGAACGGGUGAGUAACGCGUGGGGAAUCUGCCUUUGAGCGGGGGACAACAUUUGGAAACGAAUGCUAAUACCGCAUAAAAACUUUAAACACAAGUUUUAAGUUUGAAAGAUGCAAUUGCAUCACUCAAAGAUGAUCCCGCGUUGUAUUAGCUAGUUGGUGAGGUAAAGGCUCACCAAGGCGAUGAUACAUAGCCGACCUGAGAGGGUGAUCGGCCACAUUGGGACUGAGACACGGCCCAAACUCCUACGGGAGGCAGCAGUAGGGAAUCUUCGGCAAUGGACGAAAGUCUGACCGAGCAACGCCGCGUGAGUGAAGAAGGUUUUCGGAUCGUAAAACUCGGUUGGUAGAGAAGAACGUUGGUGAGAGUGGAAAGCUCAUCAAGUGACGGUAACUACCCAGAAAGGGACGGCUAACUACGUG